UAUUAGAAAGCGAAACCUAUCGCAUUUAGUUUCGACCUAAACUUUGGCUUAUAGGCCUCUAAUAA
rnacentral:tRNA from 1 species